rnacentral:rRNA from 1 species
AGUGUAGGCGGGAUAUCAAGUCAGAAGUGAAAAUUACGGGCUCAACUCGUAACCUGCUUUUGAAACUGACAUUCUUGAGUGAAGUAGAGGCAAGCGGAAUUCCUAGUGUAGCGGUGAAAUGCGUAGAUAUUAGGAGGAAUACCGGAGGCGAAGGCGGCCUGCUGGACAAAUACUGACGCUGAGGCGCGAAAGCGUGGGGAGCAAACA